ACUACCGCGAUGAUGAACCUUUUCGCAUUCAGUGCUUUCGCAGCAACAAACCGAACCGCAGUUGUGUGCCCGAAUUCGUGCGGUAAAGAUGAAAUCUAUCGCCCUUUUUGUGCUCUGUUUGGUAUUUGCAGCAGCCAUUGUUGGCGCCCAUAAAGACCAACAUCUUCACCCCCUUGAAGAAUACAGUACGUGCGGAACUGCGUGCCCGGCCACAUGUGAGUCGAUCAAGCGGACGGAACCUACUAGGUGCAUUGCCAUGUGCGUAGAAGGGUGGUCCUGUAAGGCAGGAUACGUUCGCAACAAUAACAAAAAGUGCGUUUUGCCAUCCCAGUGUCCUCGAUAGAUGAUGCUGAGAGCCAGUUAUUAAGGGUUGUUCCGGAGCUAUCCCAAAUAGCCAUAUUUGUUUUGAGACACCUUUGAAAUUAAGUGGAAGCACGACUUGUUAUAAACAAAGUUUAAAUCUAAAGUGCAAAUCUCAUCGUAAAUCUUAUUUUUUUCCAGAAACUGCAGUAAUGCAUUCAAAUAUCUGUUAAUAAAUGUAAAU